rnacentral:rRNA from 1 species
GAUGAACGCUGGCGGCGUGCUUAAUACAUGCAAGUCGAACGGAGACAUUAGCAAUAAUGUUUUAGUGGCGAACGGGUGAGUAACGCGUUGGUGACCUGCCCCGAAGAGAGGGAUAACAGUUCGAAAGGAUUGCUAAUACCCCAUGUGGUUGUUUGGAUUAGAUGCCUUACAACUAAACGGAUUUAUUCGCUUCGGGAGGGGCCUGCGUCCCAUCAGCUAGUUGGUAGGGUAAUGGCCUACCAAGGCUAUGACGGGUAGGGGACCUGAGAGGGUGGCCCCCCACAAUGGAACUGAAACACGGCCCAUACACCUACGGGUGGCAGCAGUAGGGAAUAUUGGUUAAUCUGCGAAAGCGGGAACCAGCAACGCCGCGUGCACGAUGAAGGCCUUCGGGUUGUAAAGUGCUUUUUGAGAGGAUGAGGAAGGACAGUACUCUUAGAAUAAGCUUCGGCUAACUACGUGCCAGCCGCCGCGGUAAAAC